CUUCCGUAGGUGAACCUGCGGAAGGAUCAUUAAUAAUAGCGGGUCCUCUCGAAUCAUAGGAUGUCUGAACCCUUGAAUACAUAACUUUGUUGCUUUGGCGGGCCGCCUUCGGGCGUCGGCCCACGGCUGACUGUGCCCGCCAGGGGAUCACAACUCUUUGUUUAGUGAUGUCUGAGUAUUAUAAAAUAUUUAAAACUUUCAACAACGGAUCUCUUGGUUCUGGCAUCGAUGAAGAACGCAGCGAAAUGCGAUAAGUAAUGUGAAUUGCAGAAUUCAGUGAAUCAUCGAAUCUUUGAACGCACAUUGCGCCCCUUGGUAUUCCGAGGGGCAUGCCUGUUCGAGCGUCAUUUAAUCACAUCCCGCAAGCGGGGUCUUGGGGCUCGCCUACCUGGCGGCCCUCAAAAUCAGUGGCGGCGCCUUCUGGCUCUAAGCGUAGUAAUUCUCCUCGCUAUAGGGUCCUGGUGGAUGCUUGCCAGCAACCCCCCAUUUUUUAUGAUUGACCUCGGAUCAGGUAGGGAUACCCGCUGAACUUAAGCAUAUCAAUAAGCGGAGGA
rnacentral:rRNA from 1 species